rnacentral:rRNA from 1 species
UACGUAGGGUGCGAGCGUUAAUCGGAAUUACUGGGCGUAAAGCGUGCGCAGGCGGUUUGUUAAGACAGGUGUGAAAUCCCCGGGCUCAACCUGGGAAUGGCGCUUGUAACUGGCAGGCUAGAGUGUGUCAGAGGGAGGUAGAAUUCCACGUGUAGCAGUGAAAUGCGUAGAGAUGUGGAGGAAUACCGAUGGCGAAGGCAGCCUCCUGGGAUAACACUGACGCUCAGGCACGAAAGCGUGGGGAGCGAACAGG